GAUGAACGCUGGCGGCGUGCCUAAUACAUGCAAGUCGAGCGAACGGACGAGAAGCUUGCUUCUCUGAUGUUAGCGGCGGACGGGUGAGUAACACGUGGAUAACCUACCUAUAAGACUGGGAUAACUUCGGGAAACCGGAGCUAAUACCGGAUGAUAUUUUGAACCGCAUGGUUCAAAGGUGAAAGACGGUCUUGCUGUCACUUAUAGAUGGAUCCGCGCUGCAUUAGCUAGUUGGUAAGGUAACGGCUUACCAAGGCAACGAUGCAUAGCCGACCUGAGAGGGUGAUAGGCCACACUGGAACUGAGACACGGUCCAGACUCCUACGGGAGGCAGCAGUAGGGAAUCUUCCGCAAUGGGCGAAAGCCUGACGGAGCAACGCCGCGUGAGUGAUGAAGGUCUUCGGAUCGUAAAACUCUGUUAUUAGGGAAGAACAGAUGUGUAAGUAACUGUGCACAUCUUGACGGUACCUAAUCAGAAAGCCACGGCUAACUACGUG
rnacentral:rRNA from 1 species